UCCAGACUCCUACGGGAGGCAGCAGUGGGGAAUAUUGGGCAAUGGGCGCAAGCCUGACCCAGCAACGCCGCGUGAAGGAAGAAGGCUUUCGGGUUGUAAACUUCUUUUCUUAGGGACGAAGAAAGUGACGGUACCUAAGGAAUAAGCCACGGCUAACUACGUGCCAGCAGCCGCGGUAAUACGGAGGAUGCGAGCGUUAUCCGGAUUUAUUGGGUUUAAAGGGUGCGCAGGCGGAAUGUCAAGUCAGCGGUAAAAUUUCGGGGCUCAACCCCGUCGUGCCGUUGAAACUGGCGUUCUUGAGUGAGCGAGAAGUAUGCGGAAUGCGUGGUGUAGCGGUGAAAUGCAUAGAUAUCACGCAGAACUCCGAUUGCGAAGGCAGCAUACCGGCGCUCAACUGACGCUCAUGCACGAAAGCGUGGGUAUCGAACAGGAUUAGAUACCCCAGUA
rnacentral:rRNA from 1 species